CUCUCCCCGUCUCUCCCUCUCCUUUUCUUUCGCCUGAAUUUGUCCUACAUUUCGUAAUGUUACGUGCCUGCCAUCCUUAUCCUAUGCCAGAGGUACACUGCCAGCCUCACCCCCUUCUGGAGUGGAGUUCUCUGACUUCAGUGUCAUUUGGGAUAUUCCACAUCAGUGCCAUGGGAAGGAAGACAAGGCCUGGAGAUCAGUCUGCAUCAGCCAGGAAGUUUCCCUGCUUCGUUAGAAUAUCUUCGUUUUCCUUAUCAUACGCUGGCACGCCACGCCAGUACACCACUCCAUGGAAUGCCUGCUGUUGGACACUUGCAGAGCUCUGCCACCAAGCAACCUCCUGCAUUGGAAAUCGGGGACUCCUCCAGGAUCUUAUGUGUGCUUGCUGUUUGAAGCUGCAGAAAAGUGAAUAAUCAAUUAAGUAUUGAUUUCUUGUAAGAUUUGGUAAAUUUCAAAGGCAAGACAAAGAGGAUGGCUUAAGGAAACACUGCAGGGACCUGGCGUAAAUUAGACAACUAACGGAGAUGCAGAAUAAUAUAACACCUCAACUGAAGAUUUCCUUGGAAGAAUUAGCACUAGCUAUUGGAAGACAAUGGUGGAUUUAAUCAAAACAGCAGGCAUGCAAGAAUUUCACUCGUGAACCAGAAAAAGGAGCUAAUUAUAACCACCUUUUUUAAUGGAGCUAAUUUGACUGAAUGGAUGCAAAUGUGCUUUACUUAUGGAUGAAGAAGCAAGCCUUUCUGCAUGAUCUUGGGAUCAUCUUAUCUGCUAAGCAUUGCAGCUCCUGUCCCCUUCCGUACAUUUUUAUUUCCAGAGAAGGUAUUUAUAUGUAAACAACAGUUAACCAUGCAAAAGAUUCAUCGGGACAAUAUACUAUGGUAUAUGAGCUAUAAUCAUCAUUCUGCAGCCUCCCAGGAUUUCAUCUAACUUGGGGGAUUGCAACCUUUGCGUGCAAUGAGUGAUGGUAAUAAAUGUAUGGUGGUAAA